AUUGAACGCUGGCGGCAGGCCUAACACAUGCAAGUCGAACGGAGUGGUGGACGGGUGAGUUAUGUCUGGGCAACUGCCUGGCAGUGGGGGAUAACGUUCGGACACGGGCGCUAUUACCGCAUACUAACAUCUGAGCCCCGGUCGGUUUAGCUAGUUGGUGGGGUAAAGGCCUACCAAGUCGACGAUCCGUAACUGGUCUGAGAGGAUGAUCAGUCACACUGGAACUGAGACACGGUCCAGACUCCUACGGGAGGCAGCAGUGGGGAAUAAUGGACAAUGGGCGAAAGCCUGAUCCAGCCAUACCGCGUGUGUGAAGAAGGUCUUCGGAUUGUAAAGCACUUUAAGUUGUGAGGCGUUACCAACAGAAUAAGCACCGGCUAACUUCGUGCCAGCAGCCGCGGUAAUAC
rnacentral:rRNA from 1 species